CAGCCGCCGCGGUAAUACGGAGGGUGCAAGCGUUAAUCGGAAUUACUGGGCGUAAAGCGUGCGUAGGUGGUGGUUUAAGUCCGUUGUGAAAGCCCUGGGCUCAACCUGGGAAUUGCAGUGGAUACUGGGUCACUAGAGUGUGGUAGAGGAUAGUGGAAUUUCCGGUGUAGCAGUGAAAUGCGUAGAGAUCGGAAGGAACAUCUGUGGCGAAGGCGGCUAUCUGGGCCAACACUGACACUGAGGCACGAAAGCGUGGGGAGCAAACAGGAUUAGAUACCCGUGUAGUCCCUGUCUCUUAUAC
rnacentral:rRNA from 1 species